AUUGAACGCUGGCGGCAGGCCUAACACAUGCAAGUCGAGCGGAUGAAGGGAGCUUGCUCCUGGAUUCAGCGGCGGACGGGUGAGUAAUGCCUAGGAAUCUGCCUGGCAGUGGGGGAUAACGUCCGGAAACGGGCGCUAAUACCGCAUACGUCCUGCGGGAGAAAGUGGGGGAUCUUCGGACCUCACGCUAUCAGAUGAGCCUAGGUCGGAUUAGCUAGUUGGUGGGGUAAAGGCCUACCAAGGGGACGAUCCGUAACUGGUCUGAGAGGAUGAUCAGUCACACUGGAACUUGACCACGGUCCAGGCUCCUGAGGGACGGAGCAGUGGGGUACAUUGGACAGUAGGCGGAAACCUUGUCCAACCGUGGCGAGUGUGAUGAAGAAGUCCUCCGAUUGGGAAGCACGUUUAGGUGGGGGGAAGGGCAGUAAGUUAAUACCAUGCUUGUUUGACGUUAACAACAAAAUAAGCACCGGCUAACUUCGUG
rnacentral:rRNA from 1 species